AAAGGAAUUGACGGGGGCCCGCACAAGCGGAGGAACAUGUGGUUUAAUUCGAUGAUACGCGAGGAACCUUACCUGGGCUAGAACGCUUCUGGAGUGUACGGGAAACCGUACAGCCCUUCGGGGCCGGGAGCGAGGUGCUGCAUGGUUGUCGUCAGCUCGUGCCGUGAGGUGUCGGGUUAAGUCCCAUAACGAGCGCAACCCCUACUGCUAGUUGCCAGCGCGUAAAGGCGGGAACUCUAGCGGGACUGCCGGCGUAAGCCGAGAGGAGGGUGGGGAUGACGUCAAAUCAGCACGGCCCUUACGUCCAGGGCUACACACGUGUUACAAUGGCCGGUACAGAGGGCAGCUACCUGGCAACAGGAUGCGAAUCUCGAAAGCCGGUCCCAGUUCGGAUUGGGGUCUGCAACCCGACCCCAUGAAGUUGGAUUCGCUAGUAAUCGCGCAUCAGCCACGGCGCGGUGAAUACGUUCCCGGGCCUUGUACACACCGCCCGU
rnacentral:rRNA from 1 species